GGAGCCGCCCGCGGCCCUGCGCCUCCCCCAGGCUCACCUUGGCAAUGCUGCUCAGGUAGUAGCAGGCAUAAGCGACGCUGAAGCCCAGGAUCAGGGACAAGCCCACCCCGGAACCGAAGAACCCCACGCGGACUUGGUGCUCCAGGUGUCUCUGUGGGUCUUCCUGGUGGCCAAGUAUGCCUAACAUGAGAAGCGGUUCGUGGAAGUAAGUGCAAAGGGCAAGAAUAGGAGGAAAUGCAUUAAGUCACAUGCCUUACAGCGUGGAUCUUGGAGAAAAUAUUUCUAAGAGGAGAAAAACCAGAUACAAUGUAAGAGGAUCAGAGAUGGAAGAAGUCAGACUCUUUCGUCUGCUGGCCAUGAAGACACAGGCUGGCAAAAAUUCUACAGUUCAAGAAGAUGGACUUGCAAAGAGCCACAUGAACUUGAAAGAAGACCUUGAACUUUUGAAUAGAAUACAGCCACGGCCAACCCCUUGAUUGUAGCCUUGUGAGAUCCUGAGCAGAGGACCCAGCUAAGCUGUCUGGAAUUCUGACACACAGAAACUAGAGAUAAUAAAUGUUACUUGAGGCUGAUCAGUUUCUGGUACUUGACAGCAACUGUGUCCAUCAGUCAUUCCCAUUCCCUGGAGCUUCAACAUUCCUUGUCUGCUUCUUUGUCUCUCUCCUCUUUUUCAUUUUCUUCACCCCAUCCCCCAACACUUCUGGCUCUUUCUUAUCAACAAUUAAACAAAUUUAAGUGUUUCCUAUCUUAUAAAUCUAUCCCUCAUCACAUGUCUUCCUGUAGUUACUGGUCUAUCUGUCUUCCACAUCAUAGCCAAAUAUCUUGAGAGAGUGUUGUGUCAGACAGAAAU